CUAAACAUGUAUGAUGUGUAUUGCCACUUCUUCCCAUUCCUCAGGUGAAUUAUUCGUUUGGAAAAUGGGCAAGAGAGGAGCAUAUUGAUGAAGCUGGGAAGGAAAGAAUACACAUUGUUGGAUGCGAUGUGGAUAAUGCUCGUAGCAAUUUGAUGUUCUGGGGAAUAGUUGUGUCGAAACAAGGGGAAAGCUAUUUUAAAGAACUAGCCGACAAGCAG